rnacentral:rRNA from 1 species
GGUAGUGUAGUUAACACCUGCAUUAUUUGACGUUACCUACACGAAGAAGCACCGGCUAACUCCGUGCCAGCAGCCGCGGUAAUACGGAGGGUGCGAGCGUUAAUCGGAAUUACUGGGCGUAAAGCGCAUGCAGGCGGCCUGUUAAGUCAGAUGUGAAAGCCCGGGGCGUUAACCUCGGAAUUGCAUUUGAAACUGGCAGGCUAGAGUCUUGUAGAGGGGGGUAGGAAGUUUCAGGUGUAGCGGUGAAAUGCGUAGAGAUCUGAAGGAAUACCAGUGGCGAAGGCGGCCCCCUGGACAAAGACUGACGCUCAGAUGCGAAAGCGUGGGGAGCAAACAGGAUUAGAUACCCUGGUAG